GACGAACGCUGGCGGCGUGCUUAACACAUGCAAGUCGAACGGAAAGGCCCUGCUUUUGUGGGGUGCUCGAGUGGCGAACGGGUGAGUAACACGUGAGUAACCUGCCCUUGACUUUGGGAUAACUUCAGGAAACUGGGGCUAAUACCGGAUAGGAGCUCCUGCUGCAUGGUGGGGGUUGGAAAGUUUCGGCGGUUGGGGAUGGACGCGCGGCUUACCAGCUUGUUGGUGGGGUAGUGGCUUACCAAGGCUUUGACGGGUAGCCGGCCUGAGAGGGUGACCGGCCACAAUGGGACUGAGAUACGGCCCAGACUCCUACGGGAGGCAGCAGUGGGGAAUAUUGCACAAUGGGUGGAAGCCUGAUGCAGCAACGCCGCGUGCGGGAUGACGGCCUUCGGGUUGUAAACCGCUUUCGCCUGUGACGAAGCGUGAGUGACGGUAAUGGGUAAAGAAGCACCGGCUAACUACGUG
rnacentral:rRNA from 1 species